GAACGCUGGCGGCGUGCCUAAUACAUGCAAGUCGAACGGUCUUUCUAUGGAAGCUUGCUCCCACUGAGAAGAUAGUGGCGAACGGGUGAGUAACACGUGGGUAACCUGCCCAUAAGAGGGGGAUAACAUCCGGAAACGGGUGCUAAUACCGCAUAGUUUUCUUGAUCGCAUGAUUGAGAAAGGAAAGACGGCCUUUGUGCUGUCGCUUAUGGAUGGACCCGCGGCGUAUUAGUUAGUUGGUGAGGUAACGGCUCACCAAGACGAUGAUACGUAGCCGACCUGAGAGGGUGAUCGGCCACAUUGGGACUGAGACACGGCCCAAACUCCUACGGGAGGCAGCAGUAGGGAAUCUUCCGCAAUGGGCGAAAGUCUGACGGAGCAACGCCGCGUGAGUGAAGAAAGGUUUUCGGAUCGUAAAACUCUGUUGUCAGAGAAGAACAAGUUGGAGAGUAACUGCUCCAGCCUUGACGGUAUCUGACCAGAAAGCCACGGCUAACUACGUGCCAGCAGCCGC
rnacentral:rRNA from 1 species